ensembl:lncRNA
CACAACACAUCGAGACAUGUUGUGAACACGUUCCCAAGACUCGCCAAGACGUUCUUUUCUCGCCCUUAAAAGAAGACACACAGGCAAGUUUCAUUUCUAAGUAGUCACGAUGCCAGAGAGCGAAAGACCUCAACACACUUGGAUGUCUCUUUUAAUAAGGUGUAUCUAUGGGAUUUUCUUCAUCCUGUUUAUUGUUCAGGGGAUAGUUGGAUGCGUGUACUUUAAUGACUGUCCAGGGGAGCCCUCCAUUCCUACCAUAAUGGUUAUUUCUGGAUUCAUUUCUUUCAUCUGGGCAUGUAGCUGGUUUAAGAAUGGAUGCAGAAUUUUCUGCUACUGUCUCAUCUCCGUGCUCUGUUUUAUCUGGUUCGUCGGUACUGUAAUUGUCUACUGCAACUACAUCCUGCACGAUACUCCAGAAAACGAUCUCAAAUGCAACAAGACGCUCCACCUGUUCGCAUUUUGGUGCAGCAACGUGACCUACAUCCUGACAGCUGUUAACAUUUUCUGUUUAAUUUCUGCUUGCUGCAACGACCGGAUGGAGCCUUUCGAGCUUUACAAUGAUGAGGAUCAACCACUGCUGUGGAGCUAAUCAUAUGAAUGUAUGUACGCUUGUGUGUUCCCCACCUCCCCUUAGACAAGUGGACCAAUACUGAUGAAACAGAUUACAAUGGUGUCAAAAUAAAAUAUAUCAUAUCAAAUAUAUCACACUGUAAUGAACAUAUUCUACUACUAAUAAUAAUAUUAAUAUUGAUGACUUACUGAAAUAAAAUCAUAAGCAAACAACAAGCCAAAUAUUAUACUAAUGUUUUCAUGUGUGCUUUAUGUAUAUACAGAACUUCCUACAUUUAAUGUUGGUUAAUACAGCAACAUGUAGUUUUUGAUCUUUUGUUAAAGAAAUCUUACAAUUAACAAUUCAUGUUUAAUCUUUUAUCAUCAUUUAUUAAACUCCAUGUACUUUGAAACUUUCUGAAUACAAACAAACAAAGAUGUUUAUAAUGUAAAUCAUAUGUAGUUUAAUAAGGAGAGAUCCAUUAUUAUUCCAUUCAUCUGGAAGAACUGAACAUGAUUUAUUGAGAUACAGAAUUCAGUUAAGCCAUGAUACCGAUGACUCAUCAUAGCAGAAUAAAUGAUCAUGACCUUCCAUGUUUAACAAAUGUGUAAGCUUCCUGUUAAUGAAAUGUGUGAUUUUGUGUAUUUGCCAAUAUCCAUGCUGUUUCUGUUUUGUUUAAUUGUAAGUAAACAAAAUAAAUAAAUAAAUAAAAGGCUGCCCUUUUAUUACUCUGUUACAUCUUCUGCAAUUUUUGUCAACAAUGUAAUAAAUUGGUAUAUUUUUUCACAAUGAACCAAACAGAAACAAAUAUGGGAACUAAAAACAAGAGAAGUAUUUUGAUAGAGCAGAGAUCUCGUGCUUCAGAGAAACACAUGUCAGACAGGAAAGGCUCAGUGGGUUUGGACAACGUGUUGUUGAUUGGUUCUUGUUGUUUUGACACAGCAGCUUCAAUAAUUGAUGCAUGGUGUAGAUUUAAGCUCCUUCAGACUUCUCUUGAACCUGCGCUGGUGUGUAAGUUCACACCAGAGAACUAUUACAUUUCCUAGUUGUCUGUUAUAUAAAAGACCCCUUUAUUUAUUUUACUUUUAUUUUCCAGACAAAGAGCGAUUCAGAAGACCCCUAUGACAAGACCAUCAAGGGAGCAGAUCACCCUGCCCGGGCUGGGGUUAGCGGGGCCCCGCCGUGGAGCCAGGCCUGGGGAGGGUGCCCAAGGGCGAGCGUCUGGUGGCCGGGCCUUAGUCCAUGGGGCCCGGCCGGGCACAGCCUGAAAAAGGGACAUGGGCCUAUCUUCCUGCAGGCCCACCACCCACAGGAGGCACCAUAGGGGUAAGGUGCAAUGUGAGCCGGGCGGUGGCCAGGAGCGGAGGUCCUGGCGGACCAAUCCCGGGCUACCAAGACUGGCAAAUGGGACAUGGAAUGUCACCUCUCUGGUGGAGAAGGAGCCUGAGUUAGUGCGUGAGGUUGAGAGGUACCGGCUAGAUAUAGUCGGGCUCAUCUCAACGCAUGGCUUGGGCUCUGGAACCAGUCUCCUGGAGAGGGGCUGGACUCUGUCUCAGUCUGGAGUUACCCAGUGAGAGGCGGCGGGCUGGGGUGGGAAGCUCUCAAUUUACCGGUCGAUCUACGUCCCUACCCUCACCUAUGGCCACGAGCUGUGGGUAGUGACUGAAAGAACAAGAUCGCGGAUACAAGCGGCGGAAAUGGGCUCCCUCCGAAGGGUGGCUGGCCUCUCCCUUAGAGAUAGGGUGAGAAGUUCAGCUAUUCGAGAGGGGCUCAGAGUAGAGCCGCUGCUCCUCCACAUCGAAAGGAGCCAGUUGAGGUGGUUCGGGCAUCUGACAAGGCACCUCCUGGGUGAGAUGUCCCACCGGGAGGAAGCCCCGGGGCAGACCCAGGACACGCUGGAAAGAUUGUAUCUCUCGGCUGGCCUGGGAAUGCCUUGGUGUUUCCCCGGACAAGCUGGAGGAGGUGGCUGGGGAGAGGGAGGUCUGGGCUUCUCUGCUUCGGCUGCUGCCCCCGUGACCCGGCCCUGGAUAAGCAGAAGAAAAUGAAUGGAUAGAUUUUUAUUUUCCUUUUAUUUUUUUGCUAUACUCUUUGCACCUAUGAGAAAACAAACUUCUACCCUGUGGGGCAAGGAAUGACCUCCAGUAAUAUUUGAAGACCACUAGAUGUCCCUACAAUGCCUCUACACAUCAUGCAGUGGCUAUGACUGAAUGUCGAAUAAAAACAGC